ACUCAUAUGGCAGUCAAAACUCCGAGACAGAUCCUAACAGGAAGUGGAAAUCUGAUUUGUGGAAUCACCUUCAACACUUUGCCUAUGAAACACACCGUGAGUUAGGAUUCAUUGAGCACUUCCCAAGGCUUCCACUAGAUGUCAACAGUCUUUACAAAGUGGUUUGAGUCUUCUCCGGUAGAAAUAUUUUUUUUUUUGCACAUUCGUGACGACAAGUCCCGUGCGCCUCGUACAUUAUGAGUAGCCUUCGGAACGCGCUAACAAGAAGGAGCUAUUGGGACAUAAAUUAUUAACUUUUUCGAACAAAACUACAUUUGUUGUGGACCUGGGAUUCCUGAAAGUGCCUUCUGAUGAAGAUAAUCAAAGGACGUGCAGACUGGCAGUCCCCAUGUUGAAAGGACAAAGACCACCUACAGAACUAAGCCAACAUCAGCAAGAACCUAAUGCAAUUGGCAUCGAAUUUCAAUGUGAAGGUGACGACCUACACGCCAGGAGGAUGAAUUUCAACUAUACCAGCCAGAAUAUAGCAUGAGCUUAAAAGUAUGGCAACUUGGUCACCACUAGACAGUCUUCAGAGGACCAGAGAUCCAUGCUGGACAACCUGGCCUCCCAUCUACGACCAACCGAUCGAAGUGCAGCUCAGAGACCUGAGCCCUAGGACCAUGCCUCAGGACUACCUGGCAUGAUGACUCCUUGCUGUCCCCAGUCCACCUGGCCAUGCUGCUGCUCCAGUUUCAACUGUUCUGCCUGCGGCUAUGGAACCCUGACCUGUUCACCGGACGUGCUUGUUGCACCCUCGACAACUACUAUGAUUAUUAUUAUUUGACCAUGCUGGUCAUUUAUGAACAUUUUAACAUUUUGACCAUGUUCUGUUAUAAUAUCCACCCGGCACAGCCAGAAGAGGACUGGCCACCCCUCAUAGCCUGGUUCCUCUCUAGGUUUCUUCCUAGGUUUUUGGCCUUUCUAGGGAGUUUUUCCUAGGGAGUUUUUCCUAGCCACCGUGCUUCUUUCACAUGCAUUGCUUGCUGUUUGGGGUUUUAGGCUGGGUUUCUGUACAGCACUUUGAGAUAUCAGCUGAUGUAUGUAGGGCUAUAUAAAUACAUUUGAUUUGAUUUGAUUUAAGUUUGGGGUUGUUUUUCAGGGUUUUUUUUGUUUGAGGUGCAUUUCGGGGUCUGCACCUUUGGGGGGGGGGGGGGGGUACUGUCACGUCCUUACCAGUAAAAGGGGUUAUUUCUUAUUGUAGUUUGGUCAGGGCGUGGCAGGGGGUGUUUUUCUGUGUGUUUUCGGGUUAUGAUCUAUGUUCUUCUAUUUCUAUGUUUAUUCUAGGGUAUCUAUUUCUAUGUUGGAAUUGUUUGGGGUUGGUCUCUAAUUGGAGGCAGCUGAAUCUCGUUGCCUCUGAUUAGAGACCAUAUUUAAGUAGUUUUUUUUUUCAUUGUGUUUGUGGGUGGUUACAUUUCUGUUUAGUUGUCUAACCUGACAGAACUGUGGGCUGUCGUUUUUGUUUCUUUGUUUAUAGUGUUCUCUGUUUAAUAAAUACAAGAUGAGCACUAACCACGCUGCGCCGUGGUCUACUCCCUUCAAC
rnacentral:lncRNA from 1 species